rnacentral:rRNA from 1 species
UACGUAGGGGGCAAGCGUUGUCCGGAUUUAUUGGGCGUAAAGAGCGUGUAGGCGGCUAUACAGGUCCGCUGUGAAAACUCGAGGCUCAACCUCGAGACGUCGGUGGAAACCGUAUGGCUAGAGUCCGGAAGAGGAGAGUGGAAUUCCUGGUGUAGCGGUGAAAUGCGCAGAUAUCAGGAAGAACACCCGUGGCGAAGGCGGCUCUCUGGGACGGUACUGACGCUGAGGAGCGAAAGCCAGGGGAGCAAACGGG